ACGAACGCUGGCGGCGUGCCUAAUACAUGCAAGUAGAACGCACAGUUUAUACCGUAGCUUGCUACACCAUAGACUGUGAGUUGCGAACGGGUGAGUAACGCGUAGGUAACCUGCCUGGUAGCGGGGGAUAACUAUUGGAAACGAUAGCUAAUACCGCAUAAUAUUAAUUAUUGCAUGAUAAUUAAUUGAAAGGUGCAAUUGCACCACUACCAGAUGGACCUGCGUUGUAUUAGCUAGUAGGUGAGGUAACGGCUCACCUAGGCGACGAUACAUAGCCGACCUGAGAGGGUGAUCGGACACACUGGGACUGAGACACGGCCCAGACUCCUACGGGAGGCAGCAGUAGGGAAUCUUCGGCAAUGGACGAAAGUCUGACCGAGCAACGCAGCGUGAGUGAAGAAGGUUUUCGGAUCGUAAAGCUCUGUUGUAAGAGAAGAACGGGUGUGAGAGUGGAAAGUUCACACUGUGACGGUAUCUUACCAGAAAGGGACGGCUAACUACGUG
rnacentral:rRNA from 1 species